rnacentral:rRNA from 1 species
CCUACGGGCGGCAGCAGUGGGGAAUAUUGCACAAUGGGGGAAACCCUGAUGCAGCGACGCCGCGUGAGUGAAGAAGUAAUUCGUUCUGUCAAGCUCUAUCAGCAGGGAAGAAAAUGACGGUACCUGAGUAAGAAGCCCCGGCUAACUACGUGCCAGCAGCCGCGGUAAUAAGUAGGGGGCAAGCGUUAGCCGGAUUUACUGGGUGUAAAGGGAGCGUAGACGGCAGUGCAAGUCUGGAGUGAAAGGCGGGGGCUCAACCCCCGGACUGCUCUGGAAACUGUACGGCUGGAGUGCAGGAGAGGGAAGUGGAAGUCGUAGGGUAGCGGUGAAAUGCGGAGAUAGUAGGAGGAACACCAGUGGCGAAGGCGGCUUACUGGACUGUAACUGACGUUGAGGCUCGAAAGCGUGGGGAGCAAACAGGAUUAGAUACCCUUGUAGUC